UCUGGUGCCGAUAGCUGUGGGGUCCCACCCGUUCCCAUACCGAACACGGCAGUUAAGCCCACAUACGCCGAAAGUACUUGGCUGGAAACGGCCUGGGAGGAUAGGUAGGCGCCGGUU
rnacentral:rRNA from 1 species